GACGAAAGCUGGCGGCGUGCUUAACACAUGCAAGUCGAACGAUGAAGCCGGAGCUUGCUCCGGUGGAUUAGUGGCGAACGGGUGAGUAACACGUGAGCAAUCUGCCCUUGACUCUGGGAUAACUGCGGGAAACUGUAGCUAAUACCGGAUACGACACCUUGGGGCAUCCCAGGGUGUGGAAAGAAUUUCGGUCAAGGAUGAGCUCGCGGCCUAUCAGCUAGUUGGUGAGGUAAUGGCGCACCAAGGCGACGACGGGUAGCCGGCCUGAGAGGGGGAUCGGCCACACGGGAACUGAGACACGGUCCAUACUCCUACGGGAGGCAGCAGUGGGGAAUAUUGCACAAUGGGAGAAAGCCUGAUGCAGCAACGCCGCGUGAGGGAUGAAGGCCUUCGGGUUGUAAACCUCUUUUAGCAGGGAAGAAGCGAAAGUGACGGUACCUGCAGAAAAAGCACCGGCUAACUACGUGCCAGCCGCCGCUGUAA
rnacentral:rRNA from 1 species